AUUGAACGCUGGCGGCAUGCCUUACACAUGCAAGUCGAACGGCAGCACGGGAGCAAUCCUGGUGGCGAGUGGCGAACGGGUGAGUAAUAUAUCGGAACGUGCCCAGUCGUGGGGAUAACGUAGCGAAAGCUACGCUAAUACCGCAUACGAUCUAUGGAUGAAAGCGGGGGAUCGCAAGACCUCGCGCGAUUGGAGCGGCCGAUAUCAGAUUAGGUAGUUGGUGAGGUAAAGGCUCACCAAGCCGACGAUCUGUAGCUGGUCUGAGAGGACGACCAGCCACACUGGGACUGAGACACGGCCCAGACUCCUACGGGAGGCAGCAGUGGGGAAUUUUGGACAAUGGGCGCAAGCCUGAUCCAGCAAUGCCGCGUGCAGGAUGAAGGCCUUCGGGUUGUAAACGUGCUUUUGUACGGAACGAACGGUAGAGCUCU
rnacentral:rRNA from 1 species